AGUUAAGUUAUUAAGGGCAAUCGGUGGAUGCCUUGGCGUCAAGAGGCGAUGAAGGACGUGGUAGGCUGCGAUAAGCCUCGGCGAGCCGCCAAACAGGCUUUGACCCGGGGAUUUCCGAAUGGGGCAACCCGGCGGGAGUUAUGUCCCGUCAUCCCGGUUAUGAAUACAUAGUUUCCGGGAAGCGAACCGGGGGAAGUGAAACAUCUCAGUACCCCGAGGAAUAGAAAUCAAACGAGAUUCCCAAAGUAGCGGCGAGCGAAAUGGGAAAAGCCCAAACCGUCGGUUUUCGAACCGGCGGGGUUGUGGGACCGGUUAUAGCGAUCCGUAAUUAGGCAGUGGAAGCGUUUGGGAAAGCGCGCCAUAGAGGGUGAAAGCCCCGUACAUGAAACCGAAAGCGGCGUGACCGGCACCCGAGUACCGCGGGACACGAGAAAUCCCGUGGGAAUCUGGGAGGACCAUCUUCCAAGGCUAAAUACUCCUUGACGACCGAUAGUGCACCAGUACCGUGAGGGAAAGGUGAAAAGAACCCCUGUUAGGGGAGUGCAAUAGAACCUGAAACCGAUUGCCUACAAGCGGUGGGAGCCUUGCACCCGCCAAAGCCGCGAUGUCCGUUUUAGCCCGAGUUCCCUGGUAUAGCCAUGGGAGUCCGGGCGUAGUCAUUUCCCGAACCCCUUGUCGAGGGGGUCCGGGGGGGAUCAUCCCCCCCGGCGGGGUCCGGGGCGGAGCCCCGGUUGGGCUACAGUUGCAUCGUGUUUUUGGUGGGUGUGGGGUGACCGCGUGCCUUUUGCAUAAUGAGCCAGCGAGUUAAUCUGUCGUGCGAGGUUAAGCGUAAAGCGGAGCCGCAGCGAAAGCGAGUCUGAAUAGGGCGACUAGUACGGCGGAUUAGACCCGAAACCGGGUGAUCUAUCCAUGAGCAGAAUGAAGCUCGGGUAAAACCGAGUGGAGGUUCGAACCAUUGUGGGCUGAAAACCACUUGGAUGACUUGUGGAUAGGGGUGAAAGGCCAAUCAAACUCGGUGAUAGCUGGUUCUCCCCGAAAUAUAUUGAGGUAUAGCCUCGGACUCAGACCAACGGAGGUAGAGCACUGAAAGGGCUAGGGGCCCCACCAGGUUACCAAACCCUAUCAAACUCCGAAUGCCGUUGGUUUUGUCCGGGAGUCAGACUCUGGGUGCGAAGGUCCAGGGUCGAGAGGGAAACAGCCCAGAUCGUCGGCUAAGGUUCCCAAGUCCAUGCUCAGUGUGAAAGGAAGUGGGGCCGCAUAGACACCCAGGAGGUUGGCUUAGAAGCAGCCAUCCUUUAAAGAAAGCGUAAUAGCUCACUGGUCUAGCGGCCCCGCGCCGAAAAUGUAACGGAGCUAAGCAUGGCGCCGAAGCCACGGGAUCAUCUUCGGAUGAUCGGUAGGGGAGCGUUCCCGGAUGGGAUGAAGGUGGAUUGUAAAGUCCGCUGGACUAACGGGAAGUGAUAAUGCUGGCAUAAGUAACGAUAAAGCAAGUGAGAAACUUGCUCGCCGUAAGCCCAAGGUUUCCUGGGUAAAGUUAAUCUUCCCAGGGUGAGUCGGUCCCUAAGGCGAGGCCGAAAGGCGUAGUCGAUGGAAAACGGGUUAAUAUUCCCGUACCCGUGCGUGUGUGCGAUGGGGGGACGCGGUGGGAUAGGUCAUCCGGCUGUUGGAAUAGCCGGUGCAAGCGUGUAGGCUUUGGGGGUAGGCAAAUCCGCCUCCAUUUAAGGCCGAGACGUGAUGCCGUGCGGUUUAUCCGCGUAAGUGACUCAUUCCGGACCGCCGAGAAAAGCCUCUAAGUUUAGCACGUUCGGACCGUACCGCAAACCGACACAGGUGGGCGGGGAGAAUAUCCCAAGGCGCUUGAGAGAACUCUGGUUAAGGAACUCGGCAAAAUAGCCCCGUAACUUCGGGAUAAGGGGCGCUCCUUCACGUGAAGAACUUGCUUCGUAAGCGUUUGGGAGCCGCAGAGAAAUGGUGGUGGCGACUGUUUACUAAAAACACAGGUCUGUGCGAAGUCGUAAGACGACGUAUACGGACUGACGCCUGCCCGGUGCCGGAAGGUUAAGGGGUGGGGUUAGCGCAAGCGAAGCCCUAAACCGAAGCCCCGGUAAACGGCGGCCGUAACUAUAACGGUCCUAAGGUAGCGAAAUUCCUUGUCGGGUAAGUUCCGACCUGCACGAAUGGCGUAACGAUCUCCACGCUGUCUCAACCAGAGACUCAGUGAAAUUGAAUUGGCGGUGAAAAUGCCGUCUACCCGCGGAAAGACGGAAAGACCCUGUGCACCUUUACUAUAGCUUGACAUUGAAUCUUGGACUGGCAUGUGUAGGAUAGGUGGGAGGCUGUGAAGCCGGCGCGCCAGCGUUGGCGGAGCCAUCCUUGAAAUACCACCCUUGUCUGUUUAAGGUUCUAACCCCAUGCCGUUAUCCGGCUGGGGGACAUUGUCUGGUGGGUAGUUUGACUGGGGCGGUCGCCUCCCAAAAAGUAACGGAGGCAUGCAAAGGUUCCCUCAGGCUGAUUGGAAACCAGCCGUUGAGCGCAAAGGCAUAAGGGAGCUUGACUGCGAGAGAGACAUCUCGACCAGGUACGAAAGUAGGCCUUAGUGAUCCGGUGGUCCCGCAUGGAAGGGCCAUCGCUCAUUGGAUAAAAGGUACGCCGGGGAUAACAGGCUGAUCGCAUCCAAGAGUUCACAUCGACGAUGCGGUUUGGCACCUCGAUGUCGGCUCAUCACAUCCUGGGGCUGGAGCAGGUCCCAAGGGUUCGGCUGUUCGCCGAUUAAAGUGGUACGCGAGCUGGGUUUAAAACGUCGUGAGACAGUUUGGUCCCUAUCUUCCGUGGGCGCAGGAGGUUUGAGAGGGUUUGCCCCUAGUACGAGAGGACCGGGGUGAACGAACCUCUGGUGUGCCGGUUGUCGCGCCAGCGGCAUCGCCGGGUAGCCACGUUCGGAAAGGAUAACCGCUGAAAGCAUCUAAGCGGGAAGCCUGCCUCAAGAUGAGACCUCCCUGAAGGACCCAGGUAGACUACCUGGUUGAUAGGCCGGAGGUGUAAGUGCAGCAAUGUACUCAGCUUACCGGUACUAAUAGUCCGUUCGGCUUAACUUU
rnacentral:rRNA from 1 species